GACGAACGCUGGCGGCGUGCCUAAUACAUGCAAGUCGAGCGGACGAAUCGAAAGCUUGCUUUUGAUUCGUUAGCGGCGGACGGGUGAGUAACACGUGGGCAACCUGCCCUGUAGACGGGGAUAACACCGAGAAAUCGGUGCUAAUACCGGAUAACACGAAAUGUCGCAUGACGUUUCGUUGAAAGACGGCGCAAGCUGCCGCUACAGGGUGGGCCCGCGGCGCAUGAGCUAGUUGGUGGGGUAACGGCUCACCAAGGCGACGAUACGUAGCCGACCUGAGGGGGUGAUCGGCCACACUGGGACUGAGACACGGCCCAGACUCCUACGGGAGGCAGCAGUAGCGAAUCUUCCGCAAUGGACGAAAGUCUGACGGAGCAACGCCGCGUGAGUGAAGAAGGCCUUCGGGUCGGAAAGCUCUGUUGUUAGGGAAGAACAAGUAACGCAGUAACUGGCGUUACCGUGACGGUACCUAACGAGAAAGCCACGGCUAACUACGUG
rnacentral:rRNA from 1 species